AAUUAAAUCUGUAAAUUCUGUUACAGUUACCGUUACAGUUGGGGGUUACAGGGUUACAGUUGCUGAAAUUCAGCACUGUUUCUUGCUGUAAUGCAUUUAAAUUUUGCACAUCCAGAAUGUUGAAGUGAUUUCCUGGCUGCAAAACCUUCCUUUUAUCUUGGACCAGGGCAGCACCUACACUUCUCCCUGUCAUGUUGGUGCCAGGGGCUGUGCAGGAUGCUGGACCCUGUUGCCUUGGUCAGACCCUGUCUACACAGUCAGCAUCCAUCCCAAUUCAUGGAAAAGAGCAAAAGAAAUCAAAUCAUCUGUAUGGAAUACUGAAAUUAAAUUAACCAGCUGUGAUUUUGAGUAAAGAAACAAGGUAAGAAGCUGAAGGAAAAAAAAAUUCUCAGGAAGGCAGAAAAUAAAGCAGCAAAAUAACCCAAGAUUAAAUGUCAGUGUAAAAAAUCUCAAAUAAAGCCCUUCCAGUUCUGAGUCCCCACUUGGGUUUGGGUUGCUGUUGCUCCCAGGCAUGGUACAAAGGUAUUUGCUGUAGAGAUUUCCCCUCCUUUUUCACCCUUUCUCUAUCCACGUUGCCUUGAGUUCUUUUCACCAUCACUUUUCCCUGGAGGUUCUCCAGUGCUGUUGCCCCAAGCCCUUUGUGCCUCC
rnacentral:lncRNA from 12 species